GCCUCCAUAGCUCAGCUGGUAGAGCACUUCCAUGGUAAGGAAGGGGUCUUCGGUUCAAGUCCGAAUGGAGGCUCCA
rnacentral:tRNA from 1 species